GGGGCCGAAUAUGGCUUCGACGGGGAUUUUGAAUCAACAUAAGCGAGUCGUUUUUUGAGACAAAACGUAAAACAGCUCAAAACAAAUAAACAACGAAAAUAAUAAUUUCGCAUUUGCAGCUUAAUUAAGCUUGCAUUCACCAUCUAGGCUCCCCAUAGGCCUAGGCACUGGUGUCAACUAUAUGGGAAACAAAUCUUUCUAAGUCGCCAUAAGAAAGAGGGUAACUAUGACGAUAUAACAAGAAGGACUUGUCUGUUAGAACUUCUUGUCGAAUAAAAAUAUAAUAGACUCCACUCGAAGAAAGUGUUGUGGACGAGUUUUCGGACGUGGGUUCGACUCCCACCGGCUCCACCA
rnacentral:tmRNA from 1 species